rnacentral:tRNA from 1 species
AGUAAGGUCAGCUAAAAAAGCUCUCGGGCCCAUACCCCGAAAAUGAUGAUUUAAAUUCAUCCCAUACUA